CUUGCUGGCCCUCCAGUUCCAGGACCAGGUGUGACAGCAAGAGUGGAAGAGAAUCCUGCUCAGAAGGGUUGCUGAGGCAGAGAACCAGCGCUGACCACCUAUCUCCCAGUAUAGUGGAGAGUUCUCACUAAGGACCAUCAGAUGAGGGAAGGCAGCACUAGCCUGGACUAGCUUGGGAGCUCGGCGACAGCAGAGUUUGGCGAUUCGGCCCUUUUUAGUGCACCUUCCGAAGUGGGCCUCAGGCCAGGAACAACGGCUGAUUCGGCAAAGGCAGAUGAUUCUCGCCUGAGAACCUGUGGAAAGAAGAGAGAAUCAGGCACAGCGAGGGAGAUUUUGCAGAUCUGCAAGACUGAUGUCUCCUACCUGAGGCUCUAAGAGUAGAGAGUCCAUUUUCUUCAAAGGAGACAGCAAAGUCCUGGUCGUCUUCCCCAGGCUGCUCCUGGGUUGCAGCCUCAUCAGCUCUUUCCUGGAGUGACUCAGCCUGGGCCUGCAGGGAGAACAGGAGAAUGGCAGCAAGGAUGGUGAGGGUCCUCAUGGCUGGGGUCACCUGGAGGAGGGAGAGCAGGUGUGGAUGUGUGGAGAGGGAGGAGUGAGCCUGGAUUUAUAGCUCUGCUGCGAGAAGGCCUGAGACAGAAGCUGCAGUGAGACGAGGUGGGCAUGUGAUUGGGAGGGGAAGGGGCUGCCUUCAUCCUCAAGAUCCCUUUGAUGCUCCUCUUUCUCCCGGCUUUCAUCACAGAGUGAGUCUGUGUGUUUAGUGCCUCUUCUUGAUCCAAGCUGUUAAUGAUGAUAAGGACAUUACUAUCCUGUUUCCCUUCUGCUUGAGUGUUUACUUUUAUAUAUUCUGACAAGAAAAGCAACAGUGCUUUCAUUCAAUAAAUGUGGGGAUCAAAUGCCUCUUGUUUUCCAAAGAUGGUCCCUGGUACUCUCUGGAUGACUCUCUUGGGUCAGACCUGGGUCCCAGUGGAGUAGAGAGUUAAUCCAUUUUUUCUUUCUUUGCAGAGAAACUAAUAGAGUGUAUCUCCCACCUAUUCUACCUUAUGAAAAUGAGAGGAUCUGAAUCAGAUCUGUAAUAUCUAUAAUAUCAAUUUGAAUUCGUGAAUUAACAGGGAGACUGGGAGGGACUAUUUCCUGUAUCGGUGAUUCCAGCUUUCAUGGCCCUUGUUUUACCCUGGUGGCCAUUUCGCACCAGGUUUUAAACCAUCUGUAUUUGUACUGCUGCUCUGUUUCUCACUGGACAUUUCUGAGUUUGCAGAUAGCAUUCCAUGAUUGCUUCCUAGCCUACAUCUCUCUGGCAUUGUCUCUCUGAAUCUCUAGAAAUGACUGAAGAAACAAUUUGGAACAUUUUAAUUCUGGUUCUAACCUUUCUCCAUGAAUUCUGUCAUGUGUUUGAUCACCCAGAGUCCUUAUAAAUUGUAGAAAUUGAUAUCUUCAGUCUCUCUUCAUCCUUCUCUGACCCCGAAAUUAAUUGGGUGAGCAGAAAUUCUGGAAAGAGAAAUGAGUGGUUUAAAAACCACUGUCCAGGCCCUGUGGUAUGCUCAGACAGCCGAGCUGAGCACUGGCCAAGCCAGAAGAUGCCCAGUGGCCCAUCUUCCCAGGACCAGGCCCCCGUCGGCAGCCCAUUGCUCAGCCUUGGACACAACUCUGUUGCCAAUCAAGUUUCUUAUUAUUUCUGGCAGAAGUAUUUCUAGAGAACUCCCCUGGGCGGGGUGCAGUGACUCAAGCCUGUAAUCCCAACACUUUGAGAGGCCAAGGUGGGCAGAUGAUUUGAAGUUAGGAGGUUGAGAACAGCCUUGCCAACAUGAUAAAACUCCGUCUCUACUAAAAAUACCAAAAUUAGCUGGAUGUGGCAGCGG